CGGGGGGGCAAGCGUUGUUCGGAAUUACUGGGCGUAAAGGGUGCGUAGGCGGCUCUCUAAGUCGGAUGUGAAAACUCUGGGCUCAACCCAGAGCCUGCAUCUGAAACUGGAGGGCUAGGGUUUUGGAGGGGAAAGCGGAAUUCCAGGUGUAGCGGUGAAAUGCGUAGAUAUCUGGAGGAACACCGGUGGCGAAGGCGGCUUUCUGGACAAAUACCGACGCUGAGGCACGAAAGCUAGGGGAGCAAACAGGAUUAGAUACCCUGGUAGUCCUAGCCCUAAACUAUGGAUACUUGCUGUGGGGGGAUUGAAGCCCCUUGUGGCGAAGCUAACGCAUUAAGUAUCCCGCCUGGGGAGUACGGUCGCAAGGCUG
rnacentral:rRNA from 1 species